rnacentral:misc_RNA from 1 species
CGAAAUGCGAUAAGUAAUGUGAAUUGCAGAAUUCAGUGAAUCAUCGAAUCUUUGAACGCACAUUGCGCCCUUUGGCAUUCCGAAGGGCAUGCCUGUUCGAGCGUCAUUACACCAAUCAAGCCUGGCUUGGUAUUGGGCGACGGGGUCGGUCGAACCACCCCCCGCCCCAAAGACCUCUCCGGCGGGACGGACCGAAUCUCAGCGUUGUGCAAACGUGUCGCUGGCGAGACGGGACGGCCGUGCCGUUAAACCCCAUUUUCUUCAAGGUUGACCUCGGAUCAGGUAGGGAUACCCGCUGAACUUAAGC